UACAGGGGGGGCAAGCGUUGUUCGGAAUUACUGGGCGUAAAGGGCUCGUAGGUGGCCAACUAAGUCAGACGUGAAAUCCCUCAGCUUAACUGGGGAACUGCGUCUGAUACUGGAUGGCUUGAGUUUGGGAGAGGGAUGCGGAAUUCCAGGUGUAGCGGUGAAAUGCGCAGAUAUCAGGAGGAACACCAGUGGCGAAGGCGGUGCUCUGGGCCGGUACUGACGCUGAGGAGCGAAAGCGUGGGUAGCAAACAGG
rnacentral:rRNA from 1 species